AAUAGAUACCCUGGUAGUCCACGCCGUAAACGAUGAGUGCUAAGUGUUAGAGGGUUUCCGCCCUUUAGUGCUGCAGCUAACGCAUUAAGCACUCCGCCUGGGGAGUACGGUCGCAAGACUGAAACUCAAAGGAAUUGACGGGGGCCCGCACAAGCGGUGGAGCAUGUGGUUUAAUUCGAAGCAACGCGAAGAACCUUACCAGGUCUUGACAUCCUCUGACAACUCUAGAGAUAGAGCGUUCCCCUUCGGGGGACAGAGUGACAGGUGGUGCAUGGUUGUCGUCAGCUCGUGUCGUGAGAUGUUGGGUUAAGUCCCGCAACGAGCGCAACCCUUGAUCUUAGUUGCCAGCAUUUAGUUGGGCACCCUAAGGUGACUGCCGGUGACAAACCGGAGGAAGGUGGGGAUGACGUCAAAUCAUCAUGCCCCUUAUGACCUGGGCUACACACGUGCUACAAUGGAUGGUACAAAGGGCUGCAAGACCGCGAGGUCAAGCCAAUCCCAUAAAACCAUUCUCAGUUCGGA
rnacentral:rRNA from 1 species